AAAAUAAGCUAAUUAUAUAGGACAGAAAAAGGAAAAGAGGAAGGGUCAAAAGGGGACAUAAGCAUAAGACACCCAAGCCAAAAAACGGCAACCCUCCCAGGUCCCCUUCCACCGUGUGGAAGCUUUACUUUUGCUUUCAUUUUACUUUCGCUUUCACUCUAAUAAAUCUUGCCACCACACACUCUGGGUCCACGGGUUUCUCUAAUCGAGCUGUAACACUCGCCACUGCGGCCCACGGCUUCAUUCCUUGAAGCCCGUGAGACCACGAACUCUUCAAUCGAGAAAAGACCUUCCACUGGGAGAAGACUUCUCGUCUUAUUUCCACCUAUAAUCUCUUCAAAACAUAGCAGUCAGAGUUAUCUGCUGAACUCACAAGUCACUCAUCUGCUCAAAGCCUCCCAGUGGUUUCUCAUCUCACAGAAUCCAAGUGGACUUUCCUGGAGCCUCUAUCUACUACUUGCUUUGCUCAACAAGAACACACACAGUGUUGACUCCAUCUUUUAUAUGAUGCCUCACCACAAUGUUCCAUUGGCCAGUGCAAGAGAAACCAGGAUGCUUCCUCAUACUGCAUAUCUUUAUCUGAGAACCAAAAGACAAAUAUGGGUGUCACAUGCCAGCUCCUUCUACCACCUUCUGAAACCAGAGGACUGGAUUGGAACCAACAGAGAUCAUGCUGUUUGCUUCACAGAUUUCAAGAAAAGUGAAUUCUGAAUAAUCAUUUUUUUUUAGAUCUUCCUAUGUGUAAAAAUCUUUGGUGAGAUUUACCAUCUCAUUUAAAGUUCUUUCACAAUUUUCGUGAAAAUUGAGUGAUGUGUAAUAAAUAAGUUAUUUUUUUCCUUUAUAGCUGAUGCUUGACCUUUUUUCCCUUGGUAAUAUAGCUUAUGAAGCAGAUAUAUAUGCCAAUACACCCUUGAUUUUAAGUCUUUCAAAUAGAAGACCAUAG